rnacentral:rRNA from 1 species
GUGGGGAAUAUUGGACAAUGGGCGCAAGCCUGAUCCAGCCAUGCCGCGUGAGUGAUGAAGGCCCUAGGGUUGUAAAGCUCUUUCACCGGAGAAGAUAAUGACGGUAUCCGGAGAAGAAGCCCCGGCUAACUUCGUGCCAGCAGCCGCGGUAAUACGAAGGGGGCUAGCGUUGUUCGGAAUUACUGGUCGUAAUGCGCACGUAGGCGGACAUUUAAGUCAGGGGUGAAAUCCCGGGGCUCAAACCCGGAACUGACUUUGAUACUGGGUGUCUGGAGUAUGGAAGAGGUAAGUGGAAGUCCGAGUGUAGAGGUGAAAUUCGUAGAUAUUCGGAGGAAAACCAGUGGCGAAGGCGGCUUACUGGUCCAUUACUGGCGCUGAGGUGCGAAAGCGUGGGGAGCAAACAGGAUUAGAAACCCUUGUAGUCC